CUAGUACUCCCUCCGUCUCAAAUUUUUUGUCUUAUAUUUGUUUAGAUAUGAAUGUAUCUAGUCAUAUUUUAGUAUUUAGAUACAUUUAUUUCUAAACAAACCUAAAACAUUAAUUUUGAGACGAAGGAAAUAUUAA
rnacentral:pre_miRNA from 1 species